CCACUACUGCUGGGCCGGGCUCUGCCUCCUGUACCUACUGAGCUGAAACACAGUUGAUUUGUGCAGACUGGCUCAGUUCAGCAGGAACAGGGGUCAAGUCCCCUGGAGCCCGCUGCUGGC
rnacentral:pre_miRNA from 13 species